GAAACUUGCUGAUGCUCUAAAAAAUGAUAAAUUCCAGUACACACAUUUUGUGCAUAAGAUUAACAGCUUUGAUACUGCUCCGAAGAAGUUAUUGGCAUAUGAUUCUCACCUACGUCCCGACAGAUAUGCACUAGAGCAGGGUGACCUCUCUAAGGCAAACUUUGAAAAGAGCUCAGAUGUGAACGACUAAAACAUUUGCAACAAGAUUUUGAUGUGCUGCAACAAUCUGUUGACCAAUAUUUUCAUGAUUGGCUUUUGCAAACACUGCAGCUUGUACACUUUUACUUGUGUCUAAAUAUGGAUGUCAUUUCUAUCCCUUUUUCUAUUUGUGGAUUCAAUAUUUUGGGUGAGAUAUGCUGGGGAAACUCUUUUCAUGGUCAUAAUAAAUUCUUUACUGAUUGCUUUACAGUGAGGCAACUUUCUUCAAAGUAAGUUUCAAUGACAGUUUAUUUUUUUGCAACCCUUGGUGAUUUUGUUCUUCUUUUUUUGCAAGUUUAAAGUGAUGCUGACGACGACGACGACGAUGAUGGUGAUGAUGACGGUGAAUCAAACAAUUCAAGUGGUUUUGAAAUGGAAUUAACAAGAGAUGGUAUAGCUUCUAGUUUAAUGAAUUCACUUUAAAUUGUAAAUGCUAUUGUAAAAUUUUUAGUAUUUAUAUUUGGUAUAUAAAUAUUAUCCCUUUUUAAAACUUUAAUCCAAAUAUAUGUAAUAUUUUAAUU